rnacentral:miRNA from 1 species
AGGUCAGCUUUGCCAUCAAC